rnacentral:rRNA from 1 species
AUACGAAGGGUGCAAGCGUUGUUCGGAAUUAUUGGGCGUAAAGGGUUCGUAGGCGGGAUUAUAAGUCAAGUGUGAAAUCCCCGAGCUUAACUCGGGACGUGCAUUUGAAACUAUAGUUCUUGAGUCAUAGAGAGGGUAGUGGAAUUGUUGGUGUAGGAGUGACAUCCGUAGAGAUCAACAGGAACAUCAGAGGCGAAAGCGGCUGCCUGGCUAUGUACUGACGCUGAGGAACGAAAGUGUGGGGAGCAAACAGGAUUAGAUACCCUGGUAGUCCACACCAUAAACGAUGAUAACUAGGUGUUGGGGGAGUUGACCCCCUCAGUACCGUAGCUCACGCGCUAAGUUAUCCGCCUGGGGAGUACGGCCGCAAGGCUAAA